rnacentral:misc_RNA from 1 species
GUGGACGUUACUCGCAGAAUAAGCACCGGCUAACUCUGUGCCAGCAGCCGCGGUAAUACGGGAGCCAGCAGCCGGGCGGUAAUACCGGAUGAGCCAGCAGCCGCGCGUAAUACGGGGAGCGCGGUAAUACGGGAGCCAGCAGCCGCGGUAAUACGGGAGCCAGCAGCCGCGGUAAUACGGGAGCCAGCAG